GUGGAUGUAGCUCAGUGGUAGAGUGCAAGAUUGUGGAUCUUGCUGUCGCGGGUUCAAUUCCCGUUAUCCACC
rnacentral:tRNA from 1 species